AACGAACGCUGGCGGCAUGCCUAACACAUGCAAGUCGAACGAACCCUUCGGGGUUAGUGGCGCACGGGUGCGUAACGCGUGGGAACCUGCCUUUUGGUUCGGAAUAACAGUGAGAAAUUACUGCUAAUACCGGAUAAUGUCUUCGGACCAAAAGAUUUAUCGCCAUUAGAUGGGCCCGCGUAAGAUUAGCUAGUUGGUGGGGUAAAGGCCUACCAAGGCGACGAUCUUUAGCUGGUCUGAGAGGAUGAUCAGCCACACUGGGACUGAGACACGGCCCAGACUCCUACGGGAGGCAGCAGUGGGGAAUAUUGGACAAUGGGCGAAAGCCUGAUCCAGCAAUGCCGCGUGAGUGAUGAAGGCCUUAGGGUUGUAAAGCUCUUUUACCCGAGAUGAUAAUGACAGUAUCGGGAGAAUAAGCUCCGGCUAAACUCCGUGCCAGCAGCCGCGGUAA
rnacentral:rRNA from 1 species